rnacentral:rRNA from 1 species
UAUCAAUAAGCGGAGGAAAAGAAACCAACAGGGAUUGCCUCAGUAACGGCGAGUGAAGCGGCAACAGCUCAAAUUUGAAAUCUGGCCUUCUGGCCCGAGUUGUAAUUUGCAGAGGAUGUUUCUGGCGAGGUGCCUUCCGAGUUCCCUGGAACGGGACGCCAUAGAGGGUGAGAGCCCCGUACGGUUGGUCGCUAAGCCUCUGUGAAACUCCUUCGACGAGUCGAGUAGUUUGGGAAUGCUGCUCUAAAUGGGAGGUAUACGUCUUCUAAAGCUAAAUACCGGCUAGAGACCGAUAGCGCACAAGUAGAGUGAUCGAAAGAUGAAAAGCACUUUGAAAAGAGGGUUAAAUAGUACGUGAAAUUGUUGAAAGGGAAGCGCUUAUGACCAGACUUGGACCGGUUGAUCAUCCAUCGUUCUCGGUGGUGCACUCUGCCGGUUCAGGCCAGCAUCAGUUUGGCCCGGGGGAUAAAGGCUUCGGGAAUGUGGCUCCCCACGGGGAGUGUUAUAGCCCGUUGCGUAAUACCCUGGGCUGGACUGAGGUUCGCGCUCCGCAAGGAUGCUGGCGUAAUGGUCAUCAGUGACCCGUCUUGAAACACGGACCAAGGAGUCGUCUUCGUAUGCGAGUGUUCGGGUGUCAAACCCCUACGCGUAAUGAAAGUGAACGUAGGAGAGAGCUUCGGCGCAUCUCCGACCGAUCCUGAUGUUCUCGGAUGGAUUUGAGUAAGAGCAUACGGGGCCGGACCCGAAAGAAGGUGAACUAUGCCUGUAUAGGGUGAAGCCAGAGGAAACUCUGGUGGAGGCUCGCAGCGGUUCUGACGUGCAAAUCGAUCGUCAAAUAUGGGCAUGGGGGCGAAAGACUAAUCGAACCUUCUAGUAGCUGGUUUCCGCCGAAGUUUCCCUCAGGAUAGCAGUGUUGAACUCAGUUUUAUGAGGUAAAGCGAAUGAUUAGGGACUCGGGGGCGCUAUAUAGCCUUCAUCCAUUCUCAAACUUUAAAUAUGUAAGAAGCUCUGGUUGCUUAAUUGAACGUGGGCAUUCGAAUGUAUCAACACUAGUGGGCCAUUUUGGUAAGCAGAACUGGCGAUGCGGGAUGAACCGAACGCGAGGUUAAGGUGCCAGAGUAGACGCUCAUCAGACACCACAAAAGGUGUUAGCACAUCUAGACAGUCGGACGGUGACCAUGGAAGUCGGGAUCCGCUAAGGACUGUGUAACAACUCACCGACCGAAUGUGCUAGCCCUGAAAAUGGAUGGCGCUCAAGCGUCUCACCCAUACCUCGCCCUCAGGGUAGAAACCAUGCCCUGAGGAGUAGGCGGACGUAGAGGUCGUGACGAAGCCUAGGGCGUGAGCCCGGGUUGAACGGCCUCUAGUGC